AUCAAUUCCCUUUCUUGAACGCAAAUUAAGAAUUUCGAUUUCCCAAUCAAUCAAGCGCAAAGCAGAAGCUCCAUUUCUCCGCAAAACAAGCUUCAGCUUCAAGAUUCUUUGCCGUCUACGUCUCAAGGUUUCGCAUGGCCGCCGUAAGCGAACCAUCGCCAGUUUCGGAAUCGAAGGAGGAUGAUCUCAAUUCUACGUUUCUUGAUCUCACCAGCUUUCAGCUCCAUGACCUCGACUCUAUCGAGUUGCCUUCGAGUUUAACGGAAUUGGACCUGACCGCAAAUCGACUUACGAAUUUGGACCCUCGGAUUGGAGAGCUCUCGAACCUGAAGAAGCUCUCUCUUCGUCAGAAUCUCAUCAAUAAUGCUGCUGUUGAAUCGCUAUCUCACUGGAACGCACUGUCAGGUCUCGAGGAACUUAUUCUCAGAGACAAUCAAAUGACGAAGAUACCUGAUGCGAGCAUAUUCAAGAGGCUUUUAGUAUUUGAUGUUUCUUUCAACGAAAUCACUUCGUUACAUGGCUUAUCGAAGGUCUCCAAUACACUGAAGGAACUUUAUGUAUCUAAGAAUGAAGUUACUAAAAUGGAAGAGCUAGAUCACUUCCUUCAGUUGCAGAUUCUUGAGCUUGGUUCCAAUAGACUGCGGGUAAUGGAGAAUAUGGAAAACUUAACCAAUUUACAAGAGCUAUGGUUAGGGCGUAACCGAAUUAAGGCAGUAAACCUUUGUGGACUGAAAUGUCUCAAGAAAAUUAGUCUGCAAAGCAACCGUUUGACUUCAAUGACAGGAUUUGAGGACUGUGUUGCUUUGGAAGAACUGUAUCUAAGCCAUAAUGGAAUUUCAAAAAUUGAAGGUGUUUCAACCUUAGUCAAUCUUCGGAUAUUGGAUGUCUCUUCAAAUAAGCUAACGAGUGUGAGUGACGUUCAAAAUCUGACAUGUUUAGAAGAUUUAUGGCUUAACGACAACCAAAUUGAAUCACUUGAAACGAUCGCUGAGGAUGUUGCUGGUUCGAGAGAGAAACUGACAACCAUAUACCUUGAGAACAAUCCAUGUGCGAAGACUUCAAAUUAUUGUGCCAGACUAAAAGAGAUCUUUCCAAACAUUCAGCAAAUUGAUUCAGAGAUCUUUACGAAGUUAUGAGAGCAAAAUGCAGGUUCUCGUGGACAGUCACAAUAUACAAGUUCAGCAGGUAAAUUAUGGAUAAACUCGAUGAUGUUUCAUGUUAGGAGAGAGGGAGAUAACAAGAUUAAGGAGGCUUUAUCUGCUUGUUGACUUCUGCCCCACUCCCUAUUUAAAGGAAAACAGGAGCAGCAGCAGUAAAACCAAGGGCAGAACCGAACAAGUGUUCUACGAAUGCUGUCGAAUGUGACAAUGCAAACCUACCUUGGUCUUGCUCUUGCUCAGGUAUGGUCGAAUGGGAAUACCUGGCUGGAUCUUCGCCGUUGAUCUCCUGGUUUAUUAAUUUUAUAACUUUGUGAUGGGUGGGUGGGUUGUAACAAAUCAUCCAUCGUUUCUUUGCUUCGUUACUUUGCUAAAAACAAAAGGUUUUGGUCAAUAAAGAGCAAUACAAACAGAAAAAAGAUCA